GAUGAACGCUGGCGGCGUGCCUAAUACAUGCAAGUCGAGCGAACAGACGAGGAGCUUGCUCCUUCGACGUUAGCGGCGGACGGGUGAGUAACACGUAGGUAACCUACCUAUAAGACUGGGAUAACUUCGGGAAACCGGAGCUAAUACCGGAUAAUAUUUCGAACCGCAUGGUUCGAUAGUGAAAGAUGGCUUUGCUAUCACUUAUAGAUGGACCUGCUCCGUAUUAGCUAGUUGGUAAGGUAACGGCUUACCAAGGCAACGAUACGUAGCCGACCUGAGAGGGUGAUCGGCCACACUGGAACUGAGACACGGUCCAGACUCCUACGGGAGGCAGCAGUAGGGAAUCUUCCGCAAUGGGCGAAAGCCUGACGGAGCAACGCCGCGUGAGUGAUGAAGGUCUUCGGAUCGUAAAACUCUGUUAUUAGGGAAGAACAAACGUGUAAGUAACUGUGCACGUCUUGACGGUACCUAAUCAGAAAGCCACGGCUAACUACGUG
rnacentral:rRNA from 1 species